CUUAUGGGUUGCGUAACUUCCGACCAUGCGCUCUGCGGAGGCUGUGGGUGCUUCGGCCAUUUUGGAAGAGGGCAAACUUCUUUGCCUGGUCUGCGAGUCUAAGAAAGGUUUUACUGGGGAUGCAUGCAACAGUGUGAGACCUCUGGUUCUGAGAAUGGCAUUGGUUCACGCCUCAAGCCUCCUGAUAUGUUGGUGUUCGUGCUUCAUAGGAACAGAUUCCUUUGCUCACUUGAUUAUUAAUUGAUCCUGCCCUUCAUUCAGCUAAGCCUUCAUCUGAGACCUCCAACAUUCCAGCAUGGGUCACCCUAUUUCAGAACGUCCAAUGUGCAUGAGGACUACAACUCAUGUGCCAGAAGAUGCUUGUUUUGAAGGUUUUAUUUUUAGUCUCACAACAUGGAUUUUCUUUAGAACAAGGGCCAUUGUCUUUUCUUUCUUAUUUUCAUUUUAUCAGUAAAUAGAUGAACAAAUUAAUUACAAAUUAAAAUAAAUAUUGAACAAAAAAUAAUUGUCUGACAUAACUUAUUUGACGCAAUUUUGCAUGUUUGAAGAUUUUCUCAAUCAUAAUCAUAAGAACCUUAGUUCUAUUGGAAGUGCUUAUAAUCAUAAACAAAGACUUGUUUUCAGUUCUGUUUAUCGCUUUUGUUGUAUAAUGAGAGUUUCGAAACUUGGAUUAUCUUCUGUGAGAAACACGUGUUCAUUUUUUUAUGCUUCUUGUCACUCUUUGGAGGUGUUUUGUAUUUGCCACAAGCCUGUGUUUAUUACAUUAGCAUCUUAAUCAGAAGGCCUGUCUUUCUAUUUUCUCCUCUGAACCUGUUGAAUAAAAUGUCACGUGGGCUUCCCCCAUGUCUAUUCUGAAUUUCUAAUUUACCCAGGACUCGAGAUCUCAUCAAUGUGCUGCUUUGUAUUCUGCUGAUUUUUCAAGCUUAGAUGGAGAACUCUUUCUUUAAAGCACGGUGCACAUGUCUGAGCAACACAAGAAUCCUGAUCUAGCUAUGGAAAAAUACAGAAAAAGUUCAAGCUAGACCAAUCCAAGGCUCUGGCCCACUUGCCUGUCACUUAACAGUACAGGAAACACAGGUCGGAAUUUUGAUCUAUGAAGAAUUCAACCUGAAAAUUAAUUCAGGGCUGGACAUAUUUGAACUUUCUUCUAAACUAAAACAAAUUGUGAAAAUUCAGAAACACACCUCGGAAUUUAUUUACCUUUAAUGAAAUGACACAGCCACAGUCAAACUUUUGUGUAUCUAUCAUAUAUACUAAUAAUUCAUCGGUUUAAUUAAAUCGCUAUUAACACAGAUAUAUACAAAUAUAAAAUCAAUCUUGUGCUUUUAAGAUAACUUUGCCUAUUCUGUAAAAAUGUAGUUUUUAAAAAUCAAGGAGGGGCUAGAGAGAUGGCUUAGUGGUUAAGAACAUGUACUGCUCUUCAAAAGGACCAGAGUUCAAUUCCCAGCACCCAUACCACACCCAGCUCAUAGCCACCUAUAACUCCAGCUCCAGGGGAAUCAGAGGCCAGAGGCACUUGCAGUCACACACACUUACGCACACACAGACAUGCACAUACAUAGAAUUAAAAAUAAUUUUUAAAUUAAAAAUCGAAGUGAAGAGAAAAGAUAUCCACCUUUUGUAAGACUUUGGAAAACAGAUGGAAUUUGUCUUCUUCGGACAGAGAGCCAAGGGAGGAAACAUCAUGCCUGUGUUAUCAUCUCUGCCUUUUGGCUGAGAUGAUAUAUCCCAGGCUGUCAUUCACUUAGACUGUGACGUCACAUAAAUCAUCCACAUGACUUCACAGCAGGCCAGGCCAAAUGAUCUCCAAAACAGCUUCAUGUUUUAAAGUGUAUCCUCUCAACAAAAAUACACACCUACAGUUGGUACUGCGUUUUUUGAGCCCUAAAAACAAUAACAGCAUCUGUAUCUCUAAAUGUCUUUAAAUAAUAAUACACAGAAACAUGAGGGUUUGCUGAUGAACUCAUUACAGGGAACACCUGACAGAGAGGGCACAGCCAGACAUCGAAUGAAACAUGAACUAGGCCAAUUUGCCUGUUCGUUUUUAACCAACUAAAUGUAUCCAGUAAUUUCCAAACUUAAGUAACUUUCAUGUGAAAAUCUGUUUCCUGGUCCUGUAUUCAAAUACCAGUUAGGUUUAAUCAGAUAUUAUAAAGGUUCAGGGAAGUUACAGCCGUCAGAAGAGACAGCUUCCGGGGUUGGGGGUUGGUCUUGAUUCCUGAAAGAAUGAUGUCUGGAAUUUACCUUGAGAUGACAUGUUCAGGGGGGAAUUGAGAGAACUGACAGUAAACAUGACUGCUGCUAAAAAGGAUGCUGUUUUCUAUAACUCUGUUUGAGAUUUUCUCUACAUCAUUUUUUUUUUAAACAGAAACAAGCCUAGGGGCUGGAGAGAUGGCUCAGAGAUAGAAGUACUGGCUGCUCUUCCAGAGGUCCUGAGUUCAAUUCCCAGCAACCACAUGGUGGCUCACAAGCAUCUGUAAUGAGAUAUGGCAAUCUCUUCUGGUCUGCAGGCACACAUGCAGACAGAACACUGUACAUAGUAAAUAAAUAAAUCUUUAAAAAAGAAAGAAACAAACAAACAAACAAACAAGCCUAGCUGGGCAGCGGUCCCUUUCAUCUCGGCACUUGGGAGGCAGAGGCAGGCAGAUGGGUAUGUAUGAGUUCCAGGCCAGCCUGGUCUACACAGCAAGUUCCAGGACAGCCAAGGGUGUUACACAGAGAAACCUUCUCUCAAAAACCAGCCAACCAACCAAACAAACAAAGAUAAACAAGCCCAAAUACUAAGAUAUUCAAAAGUCAUAUGUUUUGGUCUCCACUUAUGUGAAAACUAUUAGUGAAAAAUCAAUGAAGCCAUUAUUCUUUGCCUGAUGAUUAUUUUUAUUUAAUGAAUAAGUAUUUUGUUGAGGACUGGUGCAAUGCUCUUGACUUUGAAUACUUAAUAAUUAUGGGGCACUGGUAACUCUAGAGUUUAGUUGAUUCAUCUGAAUUGUAGAAAGUUUAACAUCAGCCUUUUAUGUUAUACACUGGUUUAUUCACCCCAAAGUAGAUACAUGUUAUUGCCUUAUCAGUAAUUGGGCAUAUCAUAUAGUAUUUAAUAAACAAAUCUGGCUUCUCUCAUUACUUAGUCUACCAAACUGAUCUUUCCAAGGUUAACAAUAACCUCCAUGAUGCUAAGCCCAGAUGCCUUUGGUACAUGUUUAUUGUAUGUAUUUUCUCAGCAUCAUUGGUUGCAUCUUAUUUAUCAUGCACUUUGAAGCUUUCCUUAGUUCCUUUGACAGUGUGCUCUGGUUGCUCUCUUCUCUCUUUAGCCAUAUCUCCUUUCUUGGCUCACCCUCCACCCAGCCUUUAUAUGUGGUUGUUCUCUAAAACCCAAUUUUAUGGCCUUAGUUUUACUCUAAGCUCUUUGUGUGGUGCUAUCCAUUUCCCCUGCAAAUUCAUACCAAUAACCAGAUGCCCCAUCAAGUUCCCCUCCUGACAUACCCAUUGACUUGGAUAUCUCAAGGACACCUCAAACCAAAUAUAAAAGGCCAACUUAAGAGUGAAUAUUUAUUCCAAAGAAUGGCAUCACCAGCUCUCUAAUUAUUAAAGCUGGAAGCCUUGGGAUGAUUUUGAAAACUCUUCUUUUCUUUUUGAAAACUCCUCUUUUCAAUAAAAUUCAAUGCCAAAGUUUAUAAGACCUAGUCUCUAAAUAUUUUCCAAAAAAUACCCACCUGUUUCCUUUUUAUAAGAUUCACUUUAUUAUUUUAAUUACGUGUAGGUAUAUGUGUUUGCAUGUGGGUAUGUGCAUGUGGGUGUAGGCGUCUGCAGCAGCCAAAGGUGUCACACAUCCUGGAGCUGGAGCUGCAGUUACAGACGCUUGUGAGCUACCUGAUGUUUGUGCUGGGAACCGAACUCUGGUCCUCUGACACAACAAUAGGUGCCCUUAACCACUGAGCCAUCUCUCUAGCUUCCACUUCUUUCCCUCUUGACUGCAUCAGCUACAUCUAGUUUCACCACCUGAAACCUGGACCUAACCUUCUGACUUGCCUUGCUUUUCCUCCCAACUCACUCUCUGCUAUACAAGCAGACUGACGCUUUAAAACGACAUUGUGCAGAUCAGAGAUCUAGCUCCGUUGUUGGAGUGCCUGCCUCGCACGCACGAAAACCAGCACCAACCACAUAAACCAGCUUUGGUGGCCGGCGGCUUGUCACUGCAGCACUUGGGAGCUGAUGGAAAGGGAACCAGAAGUUAAAGGCCAUCCUCAGUUCGAUGGCAAGUUGGAGGCCACCUGCUAAAUUUGAGACCCUGUCUCAAAUAAAUGAACGAUCAUUCUUGAGGCUGGAGAAAUGGUUCAGUGGUUCAAAGCCCUGGCUGCUAUGGCAGAGGACCUGGGUUCAAUUCUCAAUACCCCCAUGGGGCGGUUCAGUUGUCUGAAAUUCCAGUCCCAUGGGAUCCAGUGCCCUAUUCCAGCCUCCAUGGACAUCAUAUGCACAUGGUACACAGACAAACAUGCAAGCAAAAUACCUGUACACAUAAAAUAAAAAUGAAAACACAACAAAGCAUUCUAAGCAGAUCUCAUUACCACCUCUUAAUCUCUUCACUACUCUGAAAGACUAACAUCUCAAAGCUCUCUACCAGGUCUCACUUGAUCUGGCCCACAGUUCACAUUCAUGGACAGCAUCUUAUGCCCUCCACCUCAGCGCUCCCACAUCUCAGCACUUCCUUCCAUUACUCCAACGUUUCAUGCUCCUCCCCAGACUUUGGCUUUUACAUAUAUUCCUGACUCAAUUCUGAAAAAACAUGCCACAACCCACUCACCUUCAGUCAACUCCCACUUAUGUUUUAGAAUCUAUCACAAAUGUCAUUCAAAAGGCAUAAAAGAAUUCUCUCAUAACUAGACAAAGUUAAAAUUUACAGUAUGUAUUCACAUCAAAUUUUAAAGAUUUUUAUUUGUGUGUGUGUUGCUGGUGAUGGAGGUCAGGGCCUUUUUGCAAACUGAACAUGGACUCUACUGCUUGAUCUGCAAUCCCCUGACCCAACUCAAAGCCAUAAAGCAAAUUUAUAAUAUACAUAAUUCAGUUUUGUUAACAUGGAAGCAUUAAAGAAAAAAAAACUGUUCAAAGUGUUCUUCCAAGAAAAAAAUAUGUGUAAUAGUAAGCAUUCUAACAAUAUUUAAAAUUUUUUAUAGAUUCAUUAAAUUUUAUUUUCUAAAAAAUACGUUUUCCUGCAGAAUACUAAAAUAUAAAAGAGAUCAAUCUUAAGAUUACAUCUUAAAAAAUCAUCUCUCACUAUAAGGUAGUUUUUAGGGAUCCCAAGAGAAAAAAAAAUGUGAUAGGUGACCCAUAAACAGAACACUUAGCACCCAAGUUAAAAAGAGCAAAGUGUUGGGCUGGAGAGAUGGCUCAGAGGUUAAGAGCACUGACUGCUCUUCCAGAGGUCCUGAGUUCAAUUCCCAGCAACCACAUGAUGGCUCACAACCAUCUGUAAUGAGAUCUGGUGCCCUCUUCUGGCCUGCAGACAGACAUACAUGCAGACAGAACAUUGUAUACUAAAUAAAUAAAUCUUUAAAAAAAAAAAAAAAAAAAAAAAAGAGCAAA